rnacentral:rRNA from 1 species
UACGUAGGGGGCAAGCGUUGUCCGGAUUUAUUGGGCGUAAAGAGCGUGUAGGCGGCCAGGUAGGUCUGCUGUGAAAACUCGAGGCUUAACCUCGAGAUGUCGGCGGAAACCAUCUGGCUAGAGUCCGGAAGAGGAGAAUGGAAUUCCCGGUGUAGCGGUGAAAUGCGCAGAUAUCGUAAGGAAGACCAGUGGCGAAGGCGGGUCUCUGGACAGUUCCUGACGCUGAGGCACGAAGGCCAGGGGAGCAAACGGG